rnacentral:rRNA from 1 species
UACGUAGGGUGCAAGCGUUGUCCGGAAUUAUUGGGCGUAAAGAGCUCGUAGGCGGUCUGUCGCGUCUGCUGUGAAAACCUAGGGCUUAACUCUGGGCGUGCAGUGGGUACGGGCAGGCUAGAGUGCGGUAGGGGGAGACUGGAAUUCCUGGUGUAGCGGUGGAAUGCGCAGAUAUCAGGAGGAACACCAAUGGCGAAGGCAGAUCUCUGGGCCGUAACUGACGCUGAGGAGCGAAAGCAUGGGGGAGCGAACAGG